rnacentral:rRNA from 1 species
GGGUGCAAGCGUUACUCGGAAUCACUGGGCGUAAAGCGCAUGUAGGCGGUCUUGUAAGUUGGGUGUGAAGCCUAUGGCUCAACCAUAGAACUGCACCCAAAACUACUAGACUAGAGUCUGGGAGAGGAAAAUGGAAUUAGUUGUGUAGGGGUAAAAUCCGUAGAGAUAACUAGGAGUACCAAAAGCGAAGGCAAUUUUCUGGAACAGUACUGACGCUCAGAUGCGAAAGCGUGGGUAGCAAACAGGAUUAGAUACCCUGGUAGUCCACGCCCUAAACGAUGAAUGUUAGUCGUCGGGAGGCUCGUCCUUUCGGUGAUGCAGUUAACACAUUAAACAUUCCGCCUGGGGAGUACGGUCGCAAGAUUAAAACUCAAAGGAAUAGACGGGGACCCGCACAAGUGGUGGAGCAUGUGGUUUAAUUCGAAGAUACGCGAAGAACCUUACCUAGCCUUGACAUUGAUAGAAUCUGAUAGAAAUAUCGGAGUGCCAGUUUACUGGAGCUUGAAAACAGGUGCUGCACGGCUGUCGUCAGCUCGUGUCGUGAGAUGUUGGGUUAAGUCCCGCAACGAGCGCAACCCUCGUCCUUAGUUACUAACGGUUCGGCCGAGGACUCUAAGGAGACUGCCUUCGUAAGGAGGAGGAAGGUGAGGACGACGUCAAGUCAUCAUGGCCCUUACGGCUAGGGCGACACACGUGCUACAAUGGAUAGGACAAUGAGACGCAAUACCGCGAGGUGGAGCAAAUCUAUAAACCUAUUCUCAGUUCGGAUUGUAGUCUGCAACUCGACUACAUGAAGCUGGAAUCACUAGUAAUCGUAGAUCAGCCAUGCUACGGUGAAUACGUUCCCGGGUCUUGUACUCACCGCCCGUCACACCAUGGGAGUUGAUUUCACCCGAAGCGGGGAAGCUAAACUGGCUACCCUCCACGGUGGAAUCAGCGACUGGGGUGAAGUCGUAACAAGGUAACC